ACGGCUCAGUAACACGUAGUCAACAUGCCCAGGGGACGUGGAUAACCUCGGGAAACUGAGGAUAAACCGCGAUAGGUCAUAAUGUCUGGAAUGAUUUAUGGCUAAAAUCUACAUGGCCCCUGGAUUGGACUGCGGCCGAUCAGGCUGUUGGUGAGGUAAUGGCCCACCAAACCUAAAACCGGUACGGGCUCUGAGAGGAGAAGCCCGGAGAUGGGCACUGAGACAAGGGCCCAGGCCCUAUGGGGCGCAGCAGGCGCGAAAACUCUGCAAUAAGCGAAAGCUUGACAGGGUUAUUCUGAGUGAUUUCCGCUAAGGAGAUCUUUUGGCACCUCUAAAAAUGGUGCAGAAUAAGGGGUGGGCAAGCCUGGUGUCAGCCGCCGCGGUAAUACCAGCACCCCGAGUGGUCGGGACGAUUAUUGGGCCUAAAGCAUCCGUAGCCGGUUCUACAAGUCUUCCGUUAAAUCCACCUGCUUAACAGUUGGGCUGCAGAGGAUACUAUAGAGCUAGGAGGCGGGAGAGGCAAGCGGUACUUAGUGGGUAGGGGUAAAAUCCGUUGAUCCACUGAAGACCACCAGUGGCGAAGGCGGCUUGCCAGAACGCGCUCGACGGUGAGGGAUGAAAGCUGGGGGAGCAAACCGGAUUAGAUACCCGGGUAGUCCCAGCUGUAAACGAUGCAGACUCGGUGAUGAACAGGCUUCGUGCCUAUUCAGUGCCGCAGGGAAGCCGUUAAGUCUGCCGCCUGGGGAGUACGGUCGCAAGACUGAAACUUAAAGGAAUUGGCGGGGGAG
rnacentral:rRNA from 1 species